GAUUCUGGCUCAGGAUGAACGCUGGCGGCGUGCUUAACACAUGCAAGUCGAACGAAGCAACUAUCUUGCUUGCAAGAGAGUUGACUUAGUGGCGGACGGGUGAGUAACGCGUGGGUAACCUGCCUCAUACAGGGGGAUAACAGUUGGAAACGACUGCUAAGACCGCAUAACCCGCUAGUGUCGCAUGACACGGACGGAAAAUAUUUAUAGGUAUGAGAUGGGCCCGCGUCUGAUUAGCUAGUUGGUAAGGUAACGGCUUACCAAGGCGACGAUCAGUAGCCGACUUGAGAGAGUGAUCGGCCACAUUGGGACUGAGACACGGCCCAAACUCCUACGGGAGGCAGCAGUGGGGGAUAUUGGACAAUGGGGGAAACCCUGAUCCAGCGAACCGCCGCGUGAGUGAAGAAGUAUUUCGGUAUGUAAAGCUCUAUCAGCAGGGAAGAUAAUGACAGUACCUGACUAAGAAGCCCCGGCUAACUACGUGCCAGCAGCCGC
rnacentral:rRNA from 1 species